UUCUGAAUUGUGAAAGGAAAA
ensembl:piRNA 21ur-10959 ncRNA